GACUCACGUUGCCUCGGCGGGUUCGCCCGCCAGAGGAUACAUCAAAACUCCUGUUUCAACGGUGUUGUCUGAGCUACAAGCAACGAAUCAAAACUUUCAACAACGGAUCUCUUGGUUCUGGCAUCGAUGAAGAACGCAGCGAAAUGCGAUAAGUAGUGUGAAUUGCAGAAUUCAGUGAAUCAUCGAAUCUUUGAACGCACAUUGCGCCCCUUGGUAUCCCGAGGGGCAUGCCUGUUCGAGCGUCAUUUCACCACUCAAGCCUGGCUUGGUGUUGGGUGACGUCCCCUUUGAGGACGCGCCUCGAAACGCUCGGCGGCGUGGCACCGGCUUUAAGCGUAGCAGAAUCUUUCGCUUCGAAAGUCGGGGCCCCGUCUGCCGGAAGACCUACUCGCAAGGUUGACCUCGGAUCAGGCAGGGAUACCCGCUGAACUUAAGCAUAUCAAUAAGCGGAGGAAAAGAAACCAACAGGGAUUGCCUCAGUAACGGCGAGUGAAGCGGCAACAGCUCAAAUUUGAAAUCUGGCUCUUUUAGGGCCCGAGUUGUAAUUUGUAGAGGAUGCUUCGGCGUCGGCUCCGGUCUAAGUUCCUUGGAACAGGACGUCAUGGAGGGUGAGAAUCCCGUAUGUGAUCGGUUGCCUUUGCCAUGUGAAGCUCCUUCGACGAGUCGAGUUGUUUGGGAAUGCAGCUCUAAAUGGGANGUAAAUUUCUUCUAAAGCUAAAUACUGGCCAGAGACCGAUAGCGCACAAGUAGAGUGAUCGAAAGAUGAAAAGCACUUUGGAAAGAGAGUCAAAAAGUACGUGAAAUUGUUGAAAGGGAAGCGCUNGCAACCAGAC
rnacentral:rRNA from 1 species